UGACAAACCUCCCAUAACAACCUCACAACCUCUCUCGAGCGACUGAAACACACGCUCCAAAUGCACCUGCGCAGCUGCGUUAACGCUAUGGAGUGCCAAAGCUCCGCUUCGCACCACACUGCAUGAAACUACCCAUUACUCCCACUCGAUUCAAAACCGAAUAAAAUUUCUAUAAUUCCCCUUCGAUUUUUCUGUUCCUUUCUUCAAUUCGUAUUUUCCCAUGUAAUGCUUUAGCUGGAAGUUGUCACUUUUUCCUGAUUCGGUUAAAACGCCUGGGAAUUGUAUCCAUGGCGAAAGAGAAUCAUGCGGAGAUGGAAAAUGCUAGGCGCCCUUGUUUCUUCGAGAUUUUCUCCUCUAAUUUAACUGCGGAUCGACUGAAAAUACCUGUAGGAUUCACCAACCAUAUGGAAAGAAGAAUAUCUGGAUCAGUUUCUUUAACUGGUCCUAGUGGGAACGUUUGGCCAGUUGACUUAACUCAGGAGAAGAAUGAUAUAUUCCUUGAUCAUGGAUGGCCAACUUUUGUGAAAGAUCAUCUUAUAGAAUGUGGUGACCUUUUAGUUUUCAGAUAUGAUGGAGAAUUGUCUUUUACAGUGCAAGUAUUUGAUAUAAGUUCUUGUGAGAAAGAAGCUGCAUUUCAUUCCAAAUGCAGUCUAGAUCCCAACCAGUAUUAUAGAAAUAGAAGUACCAGGCAGAAGAGAGAAAGAGAAGAAAAAGCUGCGUCUUUAGAUAAAAGUUGUGAAAAUGUGUCAAAAAAAGUUAGGGGUGACUCUUCUGAAUUGUAUUCAGAACACAUAAACAAAAACUUGGGGGCUGGGGUGGUAAGUAACAAGGAAGGAUGCCAGCAUGAGGAGCUAAUUACAACUACAAAAUUCCAAGAAGAGAGUUCCUCCCACGAACAAUGUCUUAGUCCAUGCCCGAUUUCUUUCAUCCCCUUUCAAUCAAAAGCUUGCUAUGUAAAGCCAGCAGAGGCAGCCAUCCAGAAAAGAAUUGGCAAAGAAGGUGAAAAACAACCUGACAGAGGUUAUGGGUCAAUUUUGUCGGAACGUGAGAAAAGAGUUGCAGAGUCUUUUAUCUCUUGCUUUCCUUAUUUUGUGAGAAUCAUGAAAAGGUUCAACAUAAGUGGUUCUUACACUCUGAAUAUACCAUAUCAGUUUUCUACGGCUCAUCUUCCAAAUUGCAAAACAGAAAUUGUCCUUCGCACUGUAAAAGGAGCAUGUUGGACUGUAAAUUCUGUGCCAACAACAAGAGUGCACACAAGUCAUACUUUCUGUGGUGGAUGGAUGGCAUUUGUCCGUAGUAAUGAUAUCAAAAUAGGAGAUGUUUGUAUUUUUGAACUUGUGCGCAAAUGUGAAUUGCGAGUGUUUAUUCUUCGAGUUGGAAAGGAAGUCUUGGAUAACCAAAGUGGAAACUUAGCUUCUAAUGGGGUAAGUGUUGGGUGUACUGCCACCUCUCAUAAAACUGAAUGUUUUCCAAAGAAAUCCAGAAAAAACACUUUAAAGGCCCAUUCAUGGCUCACCACAAAGUUAGAAAAAUGUGAUAAAAAGGGGUCUAAUAAGAGUCAACUAGCAGCAGUUUCCAGAAGGAAACGUGGCAAUGCAACAAAGGGUUCUGCCCGUGCUAUGCUGUGCUCUCAGUCAAGAGGUGGCAAUGAAAAGCUGGAGGUGGCCACUGACAGUGGAAAGAAUUUGGAUGUUGAACUGAGUUUAAAUGAUGGAGCUGGUGGGAGAAUGAUGGUGGCACUCAAUGAAGAGAAAGCAGCCAAGUCGUUUAACUCAGGUUUUCCUAAUUUUGCCAGAAUCAUGAGGAAGUUCAACAUCAGUGGUUCAUAUACUCUGAAAAUCCCUCACCAAUUUUCUGCAGCAUAUCUCCCCAACUGCAAAACAGAGAUGGUCCUUCUUAAUUUACGAGGAGAACGCUGGACAGUGAAUUCAGUCCCAGACUCAAAAGGGCGAACAAUACAUACAUUUUGUGGAGGAUGGAUGGCCUUUGUUCGUGAUAAUGAUAUCAAGAUGGGGGAUGUCUGCAUAUUUGAACUUGUUAGUAAGUGUGAAAUGCUAGUACAUAUAUCCGGAGUUGGAGGAAAAGCACUCCAGCCUCCUUCAUGAGGCAUGUUGAACAAUAAGGAAUGCAGUCAUAACUAUACAAACAUUUUGCAUAAAGGCUCUUGGGCAGCACCAGUGUUGACCUUGAUAUACUUUCUCACAUGCAUGGUUUCAUGCCUGAACUAACAUAUAUAAAUGUGCAGGUUGGGCUUCAAUUUUUGUGUUCAGAAAAUCCAACAAGGUGAUGGCAUGUUUGGGCUGAGGGGCAAGAUGAAGUGCUUUGUGCAUGCACACUGAAGGACAGAAAUUUUGCUAAUGGAAGUGGAGACAUCUUUAUCUGUUUUGGUGAAUAACUAGAGGUAUGCAUUUUGUUUUGUGAAUCAAUUGCUUGCUUUCUUGGUGGGACAUUGUGCCCGAGUAAUCCUUCUAUCAAGAAUGUACAUUCAAUGUAUCCUCAGUGGUUCUGUUCAUUUUAGCUUGCACUUGUAGCCCAGCAUGAUGAAGACAAAAAAACUGUGGAUGUCUAGGAACUGUAGAAAACUAGUUAUUCGGACUUGGCAAAUUAAACUUAUUCUAUCUGCUGUGCCGGCAGACGGGUGAAAUUUAACGGUAGGUUUAAUAGUUAA